rnacentral:rRNA from 1 species
AAAUUGAAGAGUUUGAUCAUGGCUCAGAUUGAACGCUGGCGGCAGGCCUAACACAUGCAAGUCGAGCGGAAACGACAUUAUUGAAUC